rnacentral:lncRNA from 1 species
ACACAUAUAGCGCAUAAUGCUUGUAUUUAAAAAAGACUAAAUGAUUAGUGAGAGAUUUAUAAAAGGCAGCAGAAGCAUAUGAUGAUGUGUAUAAAAAUUUGAAUUUGAAUUUGGUGAGUGAGAUGCAUUAUUGGGAAAGCUUUUGAGCUAAUUAGCAGCAGAGUGAUGAAAUCACACCCUUGUUAAGCUGGCCUUGUUGGCCAUAAAUCCAUUGAAAUUCAAGCUACACAUGCAUAGCAAUAUGUAUAUGGUAGUGUAUUAUUACUGUUGGCUCGCAAAGCGAAAGCUACACUACACAUGGGUCACCAUCUCCACGUGAAAUUUCAUCAACAAGACACGUGCAUCCCACAGAGGUUCCCUCAGUUUUUGCAGGAAGCCCUUGGAAAGAUAACCACAGUGGAUAAGCAUCAGAGGAAUACGAGGCAAAAAAUAAAUGUUCACAACUUCAAAAGAUGAACAUCAAAUUUUAUUAUAAGAAUAUUGAAGCCAUUACUUUAUUUUGCCGUUAAAGGGACUCUUAUGAAACGGUGGUGGUGUUAAAAUGGGUACAUUUUGUGACUGGAAAAAAGAACUAGCUUUUCAAAU